rnacentral:rRNA from 1 species
GAUGAACGCUAGCGGCAGGCUUAAUACAUGCAAGUCGAGGGGCAGCAUGGUUGUAGCAAUACAAUUGAUGGCGACCGGCAAACGGGUGCGGAACACGUACACAACCUCCCAAUAAGUGGGGAAUAGCCCAGAGAAAUUUGGAUUAAUACCCCGUAACAUAACGAUGUGGCAUCACAUUGUUAUUAUAGAUUUUUCGCUUAUUGAUGGGUGUGCGGCUGAUUAGAUAGUUGGCGGGGUAACGGCCCACCAAGUCUACGAUCAGUAGCUGAUGUGAGAGCAUGAUCAGCCACACGGGCACUGAGACACGGGCCCGACUCCUACGGGAGGCAGCAGUAAGGAAUAUUGGACAAUGGACGCUAGUCUGAUCCAGCCAUGCCGCGUGAAGGAUUAAGGUCCUCUGGAUUGUAAACUUCUUUUAUAAGGGACGAAAAAAGGCUUUUCUAAGUCGUCUGACGGUACCUUAUGAAUAAGCACCGGCUAACUCCGUGCCAGCCGCCGCCGUAACAC